GUAUGAAUCAGUUCAAUAUUUUAUUACUUCAAAAAAUAAAAUAACACAUAUCUGCAAGAGUACAAUAAUUUAAAAUUUCUUCGGAACGGGACAUAAUCAUCAUUACAAUGAUGCGAUCCAACAAUCAAGGCAUUUAUAUAUUUAUUUUUGUACUUACAUACAAUACAGUAGCAGACUAACUGACUAUACUUAUUCUUUUUAUAUUUUGGAGAUACACGGACAGAUUCACCAUCGAAUUGGAUCAUUACAACCUAUAGAAUAUAGACAGCAUAAAUUUUUACCAAUAUAUGUACUUCAAGGGCAACAUGGAAAAACAACUUGAUUGACGUUAAAAGAACAAUACAGCAAUGAAAACAGGAAUUCUUUACGAUUUGCAGCAACUACUACAUGAACAUCAUGCAGAUAAACGACCAUCUUGAACUCACGAACGCACAUUUUACAUUGUUUGACGACAUGUACGCCAAGCUAGAAAUAGAGCGUUUAACUUUCAUGCAAUUCGUACCAAAGAAACUGCAGCUAAUAUUGAUCGAUUGACUAUUCAGCCUGCAACGUACAUAGGUAUGUCAUGUCAUAUGCAAGAAUAUGGGCAAAAUGCAAUGACGUAUGUUUGUAAUUACGGUUGUCCAGUUUACCUAUAAUCCAGCACGUGUUUCAAAGUCUGCCCCUGAUGAACCAUAUUGUUAAACAACGCGCCUUUGGAGAUACUCGAUGCUGGAUGUAUUGAAUUGUAAAAACGACCCCUGCCGCACGCACACAUUAUUUGGUUAGUAGAAAGAAUUUAACCAAACCAAAUAGAUUAUAUCAUAUGUGCCGAGAUUCCCGAUGAAAACAUAUCGUUGUUGACAACAGUUGAAUUGUUCCAUAUUCGCCACUUAUUUCCAAAACGUUCAAGACACAUCGCAAUGUUGAGUAUUGCAAUUCAGUAAAGUCCAUAAAAUACAUUUGCAAAUAUGUCAUAAAAUGGUACGAAAGGCAGCAUUAUGGCUGUUUUUGGCAUAAAAUCCUCGAAUACCAACGAAGAAAUUGUGCGCUAUCAAGUUGGUCGUUACUUCAAUUGUAAUGAAUGAUUUUGCAUAUAUUCGCAUACGUCGUCAUACAAUUGUACAUUAGUUGGGGUAUCUGGAUAAUGGCUAACGAGUGUGUUUUACUUCUUCGAAUGUUGUUCAACGUACUGAAACACUUCCAGCGACAACAUUGACCAGUUUUUUUGCGAUCUGCCAAAGCGAUACGUUUCCACGAGCUUUGCUUUGCUCGGAGAUGCCACGAUACUACAUUUGGAAUGCUGAUGCUCUAUGGUCGUAUGUAUACAGUUCAACCAAAGAAUGAUGAAUGUUCCAACGUCAUUUGAAACACAACGGACUAUUAAUGGAAUAAUAUUCCCAAAAUAUGGUGCUGCAUGUGAAGAACUCAAUUUACUAAAAAACGAUACCCAUUGAGGGGACACUCGUUGAAGCCAUUAUCUCUGCAUCUCCAAGUCAGAUACGCACAUUGUUUGAUAUCAUCAUUUCAUCGAAGUCAUCUGUUACCUCAUGUGCGGUAGUUGUACUAGUCAGGUUAAGAUUGGCAGGGCCAAAUCGUGAAAUGAAUGACGCAUUUAAACGAGAAUUGGAACUAGAACGUGAAUAUGAUCAUUAAUAAUUAGAUUUAGUAGUUCAAAGGAAUAUACACCUGUUGUAUCCCCAACAAAAGAAAGUUUGUGAUACAUUAAUGAAGGAAAUUGAUGAUGGAAAUGGUGUUUUAUAUAUCCUUGAUGCCCCUGGUGAAACUGGUAAAACAUUUUUCAUGUCAGUACUUUUACCCACUGUUCGUGCGAGAUCCAACAUUGCGAUUGCAGUUGCUUCUUGAGUAGCAGUCACAUUGUUAGAAAGAUACCAUACGGCUCAUUCAGCAUUAAAAUUGUCGUUAAAUCUUCAAAAUAUUGAAGAACCAACAUGUAAUAUUGCAAAAAACUCAGCAAUGGCCAAUCAUUAUCUGUGACGAAUGCACAAUAGGCUCUUUCGUAUCGUAUUGUACAUCUGACAGUACCAUUGAAAAACGUGGCAAGAGGACCAUUUCUCCAUUAAAUUUUCAAGUCAAAAUGG